UGGAGCUCACACGAACCUUGGCCGAGUACCUAUACCUUUCACCUAGUUGUGGAGAGAUGACAAUCACCCCACUCUGCUUCCAUGCACUGAUUGGCUUGAGAUUUGGUGGUGAGCCCAUUGUCCUUUCGAUUCCAUUCAGCCAGUCGGAGAUCCGAGACCUUAGGCAUUGACUCUUCAGAUUCUCUAUCUAUCUUAGCACCGUUCGUAAUACUUGGAACGACAUAACAGUCAAUGUCUCUUCUUCCCACGUACAGCUGGAUAGGUUGAUCCGCUCCUUCUUUGUCUACUGGGUAGGCCACUGCCUCUUCAGCAAUGCAUCGGACAAGGUGGAUCUCCGCUAUGCUUAUUUCCACAGGGACAUCUGCCAAAUCCAGUGGUAUGAUUGGUGUGGAGCUGCCUAUGCCUAUUUUCUCACUAUGAUAAGUCACUUGGCUUUAGGUGAUCCAGUCUCUAUGGAGCCGCCUACAUUCUUCAGACUAUUGAUUUUCCUAUGGCAGAACACCGGGAUAAGGCUAGGAGGCUUACUUUCCUUUGUGUCUUGUUUCGAGGUCCCGAGGGUUCGGCAUGGUACCUUGGAGAAAAGGUAGUGAGACAGUAGCCUAGUUCAGUGGGUCACAUGGUUCCUUGCUUUCCUCCUCCUAACAUGCAUAACCCUAACAUGAUCUCAGAGGAGGUUGAGGUCACUGUGGUCGGGAUGUGGCGAGACAUGUUUGUAGAUUCGUCACUCAACUACAGAGAGUUUCUCCGAAGGUAGACAGUGUCCUGGGCCCGGGGUCCUCUGUAUGAGAGGCCACCCUCUUUUCCCGGCUUCCAUGUUCGUUAAUCCGUGAGGGCUUCUACAAGGAGUUCGGCCUACGAGAGCACUGGGCCGAUUCACAACAUGGUUGAGGGAACUUCCUCCAUUUUUAGCUUUCUGGGGUGGACAUACACAGAUGCGCAUAAUCCAUCAGUGCAGGGUAUCUUGGCGAGACCAACAAUCCUGGAUGAGGAUAUGGGCCUCUCGAUCUCUUAUGCUUUGUCUCUCCUUCUGUGUAUGCUGAGUCUCGCCACAUGAUUCAGAGCCUCAACACGUGCCUAUAUCGGCAGACAAAUUGUGUUCGAUACCAGGACCUGGAGAAUGCAGACCUCCGGUCAAGGCUGGUGCAGUUUGAUCUGGGCAUUGGAGGUACCGGAUCUGGUGAGGGUCCCAC